UCGCGUUGAUGAAUUUGGUUCCAAAGCCAUUCGUAGUUUCCACCAGAAGUUUACUGAUGAUGGCUAAAACCUUCCUUGGAUGUCUGAGCGA
ensembl:snoRNA SNORD14 Small nucleolar RNA SNORD14